rnacentral:rRNA from 1 species
UACGGGAGGCAGCAGUGGGGAAUAUUGCACAAUGGGCGAAAGCCUGAUGCAGCUAUGCCGCGUGUAUGAAGAAGGCCUUAGGGUUGUAAAGUACUUUCAUCGGGGAGGAAAAAACAAAACUAAUAAUUUUAUUUCUUGACGUUACCCGAAAAAGAAGCACCGGCUAACUCCGUGCCAGCAGCCGCGGUAAUACGGAGGGUGCUAGCGUUAAUCAGAAUUACUGGGCGUAAAGAGCACGUAGGUGGUUUUUUUAAGUCAGAUGUGAAAUCCCUGGGCUUAACCUAGGAACUGCAUUUUGAAACUGAAAUACUAGAGUAUCGUAGAGGGAGGUAGAAUUCUAGGUGUAGCGGUGAAAUGCGUAGAUAUCUGGAGGAAUACCUGUGGCGAAAGCGGCCUCCUAAACGAAUACUGACACUGAGGUGCGAAAGCGUGGGGAGCAAACGAGGAUUAGAUACCCGU